rnacentral:rRNA from 1 species
GAUUGAACGCUGGCGGCAUGCCUUCCACAUGCAAGUCGAACGGUAACGGGCCUUCGGGUGCCGACGAGUGGCGAACGGGUGAGUAAUACAUCGGAACGUGCCCGAUCGUGGGGGAUAACGAGGCGAAAGCUUUGCUAAUACCGCAUACGAUCUACGGAUGAAAGCAGGGGACCGCAAGGCCUUGCGCGGACGGAGCGGCCGAUGGCAGAUUAGGUAGUUGGUGGGAUAAAAGCUUACCAAGCCGACGAUCUGUAGCUGGUCUGAGAGGAUGAUCAGCCACCCUGGACCUGAAACACGGCCCAGACUCCUACGGGAGGCAGCAGUGGGAAUUUUUGGACAAUGGGGGCAAGCCUGAUCCGGCCAUGCCGCGUGCAGGAGGAAGGCCUUCGGGUUGUAACUGCUUUUGUACGGAACGAAAAGCCUUCUUUUAAUACAGGAGGGUCAUGACGGUACCGUAAGAAUAAGCACCGGCUAACUACGUG